rnacentral:rRNA from 1 species
GAACGCGAAGAACCUUACCCGGGCUUGAACUAGGAGUGACGAAUCUAGAGAUAGAUUUUUCUUCGGACACUCUUGGAGGUGCUGCAUGGUUGUCGUCAGCUCGUGCCGUGAGGUGUCGGCUUAAGUGCCAUAACGAGCGCAACCCUUUUCCUUGGUUGCCAUCAGGUAAUGCUGGGCACUCCAGGGAUACUGCCAUCGUAAGAUGUGAGGAAGGUGGGGAUGACGUCAAAUCAGCACGGCCCUUACGUCCGGGGCUACACACGUGUUACAAUGGGGGGUACAGAAGGUCGCUACCUGGUGACAGGAUGCCAAUCUCCAAAACCUCUCUCAGUUCGGAUUGGAGUCUGCAACCCGACUCCAUGAAGCUGGAUUCGCUAGUAAUCGCGCAUCAGCCAUGGCGCGGUGAAUACGUUCCCGGGUCUUGUACACACC